rnacentral:lncRNA from 1 species
AUGUUAAGCCCCACCACAGGCGUACAUAUGCGUUGCAGAGUACACACCACCAAUACUUUUUUUUUGUCCUCCGAACAACCCUGGAAGGGAGGCUUGGCUGAGGCAAUUCCAAUACUCGAGUCUCUGUUUCUGGUAUUUUCUGCUUCAAUCAAUAAUAGACUAUUAAGUUGUUGCUAUGUAAUAAUAAAAUUACUUUGCACUGUUAUACUCUAUUGUUUCCUGCGCUUUGCUGUAAAGCGGCUCGAGCACCUUACUUUGAAAAGGCGGUAUACACCUAAGUUGAUGGGUUGGGAUGUUCCAGGUUCCAUCCCCUCACUUCCCAAGCCCCAUGUGCCAAAUCCGGAGCCGUUCCCUCGGGAAGCCCCGCUUUACGAGGACCUCCGCCUCUUCAUCUCUGCGUCUCCCCACCACCACCAUUUCCAUCCCCAUAGGCCUCCCCCCCACACACACACACCCCGAACGAAGCCUGGCAGUGAGGCACGGUGGCCAACGGGGGGAUGCGGGGGCGGGGAGAGGCCUCGGAGGGCCUGGAGGAGCCUCUCCUUCCCUCCCCCUAUGGCGGCCGCUGCCUUCGGAGGGUUUCCGGCCCCCUACCUGCAUUUCGCCUCAGUGACCCGGACGCGGUGGGAGAGCGGAGCUGAAAAAGCGGCCCCCUCGCUUGUCUUCCCCCUCAGGACGAAACACGGUUUGUCUGUAAACAACAAGCCCCUUCCUCCGCCGCCGCCGUCACGCACCCUCCCCGCUGCGUCCGUCCGUCCGUCCGUCCGCCCGCGCAGCUGGCUGCCGAGGCAGAUUCAGCCGCUCCAGUCAGACAUAAACUCUUCGCCUAAGGCGGCUGGCCGUUCCUCUCCUAGGCGGCGAUUGGCUGCCGUCGCGGCCCGCGCGCCGGGGCUGGGCGUGACAGCCGAUUCCGAUUGGCUGCCGCGAGGGGAACGGGCGGGCGCCGUGGGAGAGAGAGGUGGGGCAAAGGAGGCCGUCCGAUUCGCCGCUGAGGUCUCGCGCCGCUCCAAAGAGUUGAGCGACGAUAGGGCGAAGGGAGGGGAAAGCGGAGGGGGGGCCUUAAAGGCCUCUGCUAUCCCAUUGGUCACUGCCCUGCUCUGCCCCACCCACCCUCGUCGCGUUGUUUUGAUUCGAGUCUCUGGACUCUGGUCUCGCUCGCGCACGUCGUGCAAGGGGGAGCGCAUGCGCAGAGGGAAGCAGCAGGCUGGCAUGUUUGUGUUCACCCCAAAGUAA